AUACUCUGUCAUGAAUUGAAGGAGUUUUUUUCAGAACUCUCCAUAGUCUUUCCAUCUGUCCAUCUCCAUAGUCUUUAACAGAAAAAUUUUCAGCUUAUUAAAGCAUCUUCUUAUUUCUCUACCCCCUCUGAGGCUUAAUUCCUUUCUUCACUGUCUUUGAUAGUUUAUAGAGUCUCUUCCUAUGCUGAUCAUUCAUUCUCUCUCUCUCUCUCUCUCUCUGGAAAAAAGGAUUAAUCUACAAGUCUCAUCUGGGUAAUGAAAAGGUUAAAAUCUUGCCCAGGCCUUGUAGCUGGUUUUAUUAGCUUUGCCAGAGCAGCGGCUGGAGCUGUGUGCGAUAGCCUCUCCUUACUUGGCAGUCUCUGAAAAAAAAACUCAGCAGCAGCAGAAACUGCAACCCGAGUCAGGCCAGCCAGCUCUGCUUUUCUUCGCCCCACCCCUCCGCGGCCUUGUCCGGGCUGGCGGGGGCAGGGAGGGAAGGCUGAAUCGGAGCCUUGUUACCUCUUCAAAAGCCGGAAAUCAAAGUGAAUAAGAAACUCUCGGCCUUACCUCUUAAGGUAGGUGUUCACAGGUUGAUCUCACUUCUCAAUGGUUAAAACUGCUGCCAAUUCUCUGAAAUGGCCAGUCAUUGGUCAAGAGAAAAAACUCCCAUCAGCCUCCAGCAGUUUUCAACUUCCCUAGCUCCCAAAGCUAUCUUAAAGGUAAAGUCACUCCAGGACACACCUCCAGCCACAAGUGACUCUGGUUAUAGUUUUGGAAGUGAACCAUCAGAUGAGAGCUACUCCUGAUGCCUGGCCUGUGGGCCUCUGUGUCAUCAUUUAAAUGGAGUCCUUCCUCUGUUUGCUGGGGAUCUUCCUGAAUGUGGAGGGUAGACAAACCCCCUCUCCUUGCAAGUGAAAGAAGAGAGCUGUUCUGUACAACAUAAUGGUAGCUGUCAGAUGAAACUGUUGUGUCUGCAGAAAGUAAAAAAUCAGCAUUGAGAUCAAAGGCAUUCCAAUGGGACUGCCAAACAACAUAUUUUCUGUGGGAAAGAAGAAAGAGAAAUCCAGCUUUUGGCUUCUGCCCUGUGAAAACUGCCUCCUUCAAGUGAGAGUUCAGUCUUUAGAACUCUUCACCAAGCACCAUCUUCUAAGCAGUCAAGCUGUUUACCAUUAUUUUUGCUAUGUCAGUCCCAAAAGACUUAUUUGCUAA
rnacentral:lncRNA from 1 species